AUCGCAUUCAAUAUCCAUAGGUAC
rnacentral:siRNA from 1 species